rnacentral:tRNA from 2 species
GGAGAGGUGGCCGAGUGGUUUAAGGCACCGGUCUUGAAAACCGGCGGCCCGCAAGGGCCCGUGAGUUCGAAUCUCACCCUCUCCGCCA